rnacentral:rRNA from 1 species
CGGAUUGUAGUCUGCAACUCGACUGCAUGAAGCUGGAAUCGCUAGUAAUCGCGAAUCAGAAUGUCGCGGUGAAUACGUUCCCGGGCCUUGUACACACCGCCCGUCACACCAUGAGAGUCGAUAACACCCGAAGCCUGUGAGCUAACUUAAAGAGGCAGCAGUCGAAGGUAGAGCCAAUGAUUGGGGUGAAGUCGUAACAAGGUACC